rnacentral:rRNA from 1 species
UACGUAGGGUGCAAGCGUUAAUCGGAAUUACUGGGCGUAAAGCGUGCGCAGGCGGUUGUGUAAGACAGAUGUGAAAUCCCCGGGCUCAACCUGGGAACUGCAUUUGUGACUGCACAGCUGGAGUGCGGCAGAGGGGGAUGGAAUUCCGCGUGUAGCAGUGAAAUGCGUAGAUAUGCGGAGGAACACCGAUGGCGAAGGCAAUCCCCUGGGCCUGCACUGACGCUCAUGCACGAAAGCGUGGGGAGCAAACAGGAUAGAAACCCCAGU